UCUUCCCUCUGGCGGCGUGCCUAAUACAUGCAAGUCGAGCGAACAGACGAGGAGCUUGCUCCUCUGACGUUAGCGGCGGACGGGUGAGUAACACGUGGAUAACCUACCUAUAAGACUGGGAUAACUUCGGGAAACCGGAGCUAAUACCGGAAAAUAUAUUGAACCGCAUGGUUCAAUAGUGAAAGACGGUUUUGCUGUCACUUAUAGAUGGAUCCGCGCCGCAUUAGCUAGUUGGUAAGGUAACGGCUUACCAAGGCAACGAUGCGUAGCCGACCUGAGAGGGUGAUCGGCCACACUGGAACUGAGACACGGUCCAGACUCCUACGGGAGGCAGCAGUAGGGAAUCUUCCGCAAUGGGCGAAAGCCUGACGGAGCAACGCCGCGUGAGUGAUGACGGUCUUCGGAUCGUAAAACUCUGUUAUUAGGGAAGAACAAAUGUGUAAGUAACUAUGCACGUCUUGACGGUACCUAAUCAGAAAGCCACGGCUAACUACGUG
rnacentral:rRNA from 1 species